GGGUUGUGAGGUUAAGCGACUAAGCGUACACGGUGGAUGCCCUGGCAGUCAGAGGCGAUGAAGGACGUGCUAAUCUGCGAUAAGCGUCGGUAAGGUGAUAUGAACCGUUAUAACCGGCGAUUUCCGAAUGGGGAAACCCAGUGUGUUUCGACACACUAUCAUUAACUGAAUCCAUAGGUUAAUGAGGCGAACCGGGGGAACUGAAACAUCUAAGUACCCCGAGGAAAAGAAAUCAACCGAGAUUCCCCCAGUAGCGGCGAGCGAACGGGGAGCAGCCCAGAGCCUGAAUCAGUGUGUGUGUUAGUGGAAGCGUCUGGAAAGGCGCGCGAUACAGGGUGACAGCCCCGUACACAAAAUGCACAUGCUGUGAGCUCGAUGAGUAGGGCGGGACACGUGGUAUCCUGUCUGAAUAUGGGGGGACCAUCCUCCAAGGCUAAAUACUCCUGACUGACCGAUAGUGAACCAGUACCGUGAGGGAAAGGCGAAAAGAACCCCGGCGAGGGGAGUGAAAAAGAACCUGAAACCGUGUACGUACAAGCAGUGGGAGCCUCUUUAAUGGGGUGACUGCGUACCUUUUGUAUAAUGGGUCAGCGACUUAUAUUCUGUAGCAAGGUUAACCGAAUAGGGGAGCCGAAGGGAAACCGAGUCUUAACUGGGCGUUAAGUUGCAGGGUAUAGACCCGAAACCCGGUGAUCUAGCCAUGGGCAGGUUGAAGGUUGGGUAACACUAACUGGAGGACCGAACCGACUAAUGUUGAAAAAUUAGCGGAUGACUUGUGGCUGGGGGUGAAAGGCCAAUCAAACCGGGAGAUAGCUGGUUCUCCCCGAAAGCUAUUUAGGUAGCGCCUCGUGAAUUCAUCUCCGGGGGUAGAGCACUGUUUCGGCAAGGGGGUCAUCCCGACUUACCAACCCGAUGCAAACUGCGAAUACCGGAGAAUGUUAUCACGGGAGACACACGGCGGGUGCUAACGUCCGUCGUGAAGAGGGAAACAACCCAGACCGCCAGCUAAGGUCCCAAAGUCAUGGUUAAGUGGGAAACGAUGUGGGAAGGCCCAGACAGCCAGGAUGUUGGCUUAGAAGCAGCCAUCAUUUAAAGAAAGCGUAAUAGCUCACUGGUCGAGUCGGCCUGCGCGGAAGAUGUAACGGGGCUAAACCAUGCACCGAAGCUGCGGCAGCGACACUAUGUGUUGUUGGGUAGGGGAGCGUUCUGUAAGCCUGUGAAGGUGUGCUGUGAGGCAUGCUGGAGGUAUCAGAAGUGCGAAUGCUGACAUAAGUAACGAUAAAGCGGGUGAAAAGCCCGCUCGCCGGAAGACCAAGGGUUCCUGUCCAACGUUAAUCGGGGCAGGGUGAGUCGACCCCUAAGGCGAGGCCGAAAGGCGUAGUCGAUGGGAAACAGGUUAAUAUUCCUGUACUUGGUGUUACUGCGAAGGGGGGACGGAGAAGGCUAUGUUGGCCGGGCGACGGUUGUCCCGGUUUAAGCGUGUAGGCUGGUUUUCCAGGCAAAUCCGGAAAAUCAAGGCUGAGGCGUGAUGACGAGGCACUACGGUGCUGAAGCAACAAAUGCCCUGCUUCCAGGAAAAGCCUCUAAGCAUCAGGUAACAUCAAAUCGUACCCCAAACCGACACAGGUGGUCAGGUAGAGAAUACCAAGGCGCUUGAGAGAACUCGGGUGAAGGAACUAGGCAAAAUGGUGCCGUAACUUCGGGAGAAGGCACGCUGAUAUGUAGGUGAAGCGACUUGCUCGUGGAGCUGAAAUCAGUCGAAGAUACCAGCUGGCUGCAACUGUUUAUUAAAAACACAGCACUGUGCAAACACGAAAGUGGACGUAUACGGUGUGACGCCUGCCCGGUGCCGGAAGGUUAAUUGAUGGGGUUAGCGCAAGCGAAGCUCUUGAUCGAAGCCCCGGUAAACGGCGGCCGUAACUAUAACGGUCCUAAGGUAGCGAAAUUCCUUGUCGGGUAAGUUCCGACCUGCACGAAUGGCGUAAUGAUGGCCAGGCUGUCUCCACCCGAGACUCAGUGAAAUUGAACUCGCUGUGAAGAUGCAGUGUACCCGCGGCAAGACGGAAAGACCCCGUGAACCUUUACUAUAGCUUGACACUGAACAUUGAGCCUUGAUGUGUAGGAUAGGUGGGAGGCUUUGAAGUGUGGACGCCAGUCUGCAUGGAGCCGACCUUGAAAUACCACCCUUUAAUGUUUGAUGUUCUAACGUGGACCCGUGAUCCGGGUUGCGGACAGUGUCUGGUGGGUAGUUUGACUGGGGCGGUCUCCUCCUAAAGAGUAACGGAGGAGCACGAAGGUUGGCUAAUCCUGGUCGGACAUCAGGAGGUUAGUGCAAUGGCAUAAGCCAGCUUGACUGCGAGCGUGACGGCGCGAGCAGGUGCGAAAGCAGGUCAUAGUGAUCCGGUGGUUCUGAAUGGAAGGGCCAUCGCUCAACGGAUAAAAGGUACUCCGGGGAUAACAGGCUGAUACCGCCCAAGAGUUCAUAUCGACGGCGGUGUUUGGCACCUCGAUGUCGGCUCAUCACAUCCUGGGGCUGAAGUAGGUCCCAAGGGUAUGGCUGUUCGCCAUUUAAAGUGGUACGCGAGCUGGGUUUAGAACGUCGUGAGACAGUUCGGUCCCUAUCUGCCGUGGGCGCUGGAGAACUGAGGGGGGCUGCUCCUAGUACGAGAGGACCGGAGUGGACGCAUCACUGGUGUUCGGGUUGUCAUGCCAAUGGCACUGCCCGGUAGCUAAAUGCGGAAGAGAUAAGUGCUGAAAGCAUCUAAGCACGAAACUUGCCCCGAGAUGAGUUCUCCCUGAGACUUUAAGUCUCCUGAAGGAACGUUGAAGACGACGACGUUGAUAGGCCGGGUGUGUAAGCGCAGCGAUGCGUUGAGCUAACCGGUACUAAUGAACCGUGAGGCUUAACCUUACAACGCCGAAG
rnacentral:rRNA from 1 species